UUAAGCGACUAAGCGUACACGGUGGAUGCCCUGGCAGUCAGAGGCGAUGAAGGACGUGCUAAUCUGCGAUAAGCGUCGGUAAGGUGAUAUGAACCGUUAUAACCGGCGAUUUCCGAAUGGGGAAACCCAGUGUGUUUCGUCACACUAUCAUUAACUGAAUCCAUAGGUUAAUGAGGCGAACCGGGGGAACUGAAACAUCUAAGUACCCCGAGGAAAAGAAAUCAACCGAGAUUCCCCCAGUAGCGGCGAGCGAACGGGGAGCAGCCCAGAGCCUGAAUCAGUGUGUGUGUUAGUGGAAGCGUCUGGAAAGGCGCGCGAUACAGGGUGACAGCCCCGUACACAAAAAUGCACAUGCUGUGAGCUCGAUGAGUAGGGCGGGACACGUGGUAUCCUGUCUGAAUAUGGGGGGACCAUCCUCCAAGGCUAAAUACUCCUGACUGACCGAUAGUGAACCAGUACCGUGAGGGAAAGGCGAAAAGAACCCCGGCGAGGGGAGUGAAAAAGAACCUGAAACCGUGUACGUACAAGCAGUGGGAGCACGCUUAGGCGUGUGACUGCGUACCUUUUGUAUAAUGGGUCAGCGACUUAUAUUCUGUAGCAAGGUUAACCGAAUAGGGGAGCCGAAGGGAAACCGAGUCUUAACUGGGCGUUAAGUUGCAGGGUAUAGACCCGAAACCCGGUGAUCUAGCCAUGGGCAGGUUGAAGGUUGGGUAACACUAACUGGAGGACCGAACCGACUAAUGUUGAAAAAUUAGCGGAUGACUUGUGGCUGGGGGUGAAAGGCCAAUCAAACCGGGAGAUAGCUGGUUCUCCCCGAAAGCUAUUUAGGUAGCGCCUCGUGAAUUCAUCUCCGGGGGUAGAGCACUGUUUCGGCAAGGGGGUCAUCCCGACUUACCAACCCGAUGCAAACUGCGAAUACCGGAGAAUGUUAUCACGGGAGACACACGGCGGGUGCUAACGUCCGUCGUGAAGAGGGAAACAACCCAGACCGCCAGCUAAGGUCCCAAAGUCAUGGUUAAGUGGGAAACGAUGUGGGAAGGCCCAGACAGCCAGGAUGUUGGCUUAGAAGCAGCCAUCAUUUAAAGAAAGCGUAAUAGCUCACUGGUCGAGUCGGCCUGCGCGGAAGAUGUAACGGGGCUAAACCAUGCACCGAAGCUGCGGCAGCGACGCUUAUGCGUUGUUGGGUAGGGGAGCGUUCUGUAAGCCUGUGAAGGUGUGCUGUGAGGCAUGCUGGAGGUAUCAGAAGUGCGAAUGCUGACAUAAGUAACGAUAAAGCGGGUGAAAAGCCCGCUCGCCGGAAGACCAAGGGUUCCUGUCCAACGUUAAUCGGGGCAGGGUGAGUCGACCCCUAAGGCGAGGCCGAAAGGCGUAGUCGAUGGGAAACAGGUUAAUAUUCCUGUACUUGGUGUUACUGCGAAGGGGGGACGGAGAAGGCUAUGUUGGCCGGGCGACGGUUGUCCCGGUUUAAGCGUGUAGGCUGGUUUUCCAGGCAAAUCCGGAAAAUCAAGGCUGAGGCGUGAUGACGAGGCACUACGGUGCUGAAGCAACAAAUGCCCUGCUUCCAGGAAAAGCCUCUAAGCAUCAGGUAACAUCAAAUCGUACCCCAAACCGACACAGGUGGUCAGGUAGAGAAUACCAAGGCGCUUGAGAGAACUCGGGUGAAGGAACUAGGCAAAAUGGUGCCGUAACUUCGGGAGAAGGCACGCUGAUAUGUAGGUGAAGUCCCUCGCGGAUGGAGCUGAAAUCAGUCGAAGAUACCAGCUGGCUGCAACUGUUUAUUAAAAACACAGCACUGUGCAAACACGAAAGUGGACGUAUACGGUGUGACGCCUGCCCGGUGCCGGAAGGUUAAUUGAUGGGGUCAGCGCAAGCGAAGCUCUUGAUCGAAGCCCCGGUAAACGGCGGCCGUAACUAUAACGGUCCUAAGGUAGCGAAAUUCCUUGUCGGGUAAGUUCCGACCUGCACGAAUGGCGUAAUGAUGGCCAGGCUGUCUCCACCCGAGACUCAGUGAAAUUGAACUCGCUGUGAAGAUGCAGUGUACCCGCGGCAAGACGGAAAGACCCCGUGAACCUUUACUAUAGCUUGACACUGAACAUUGAGCCUUGAUGUGUAGGAUAGGUGGGAGGCUUUGAAGUGUGGACGCCAGUCUGCAUGGAGCCGACCUUGAAAUACCACCCUUUAAUGUUUGAUGUUCUAACGUUGACCCGUGAUCCGGGUUGCGGACAGUGUCUGGUGGGUAGUUUGACUGGGGCGGUCUCCUCCUAAAGAGUAACGGAGGAGCACGAAGGUUGGCUAAUCCUGGUCGGACAUCAGGAGGUUAGUGCAAUGGCAUAAGCCAGCUUGACUGCGAGCGUGACGGCGCGAGCAGGUGCGAAAGCAGGUCAUAGUGAUCCGGUGGUUCUGAAUGGAAGGGCCAUCGCUCAACGGAUAAAAGGUACUCCGGGGAUAACAGGCUGAUACCGCCCAAGAGUUCAUAUCGACGGCGGUGUUUGGCACCUCGAUGUCGGCUCAUCACAUCCUGGGGCUGAAGUAGGUCCCAAGGGUAUGGCUGUUCGCCAUUUAAAGUGGUACGCGAGCUGGGUUUAGAACGUCGUGAGACAGUUCGGUCCCUAUCUGCCGUGGGCGCUGGAGAAUUGAGGGGGGCUGCUCCUAGUACGAGAGGACCGGAGUGGACGCAUCACUGGUGUUCGGGUUGUCAUGCCAAUGGCACUGCCCGGUAGCUAAAUGCGGAAGAGAUAAGUGCUGAAAGCAUCUAAGCACGAAACUUGCCCCGAGAUGAGUUCUCCCUGACUCCUUGAGAGUCCUGAAGGAACGUUGAAGACGACGACGUUGAUAGGCCGGGUGUGUAAGCGCAGCGAUGCGUUGAGCUAACCGGUACUAAUGAACCGUGAGGCUUAACCU
rnacentral:rRNA from 1 species